UUAGAGUUUGAUCAUGGCUCAGAUUGAACGCUGGCGGCAGGCCUAACACAUGCAAGUCGAGCGGUAGCACAGAGAGCUUGCUCUCGGGUGACGAGCGGCGGACGGGUGAGUAAUGUCUGGGAAACUGCCUGAUGGAGGGGGAUAACUACUGGAAACGGUGGCUAAUACCGCAUAACGUCGCAAGACCAAAGAGGGGGACCUUCGGGCCUCUUGCCAUCAGAUGUGCCCAGAUGGGAUUAGCUAGUAGGUGGGGUAACGGCUCACCUAGGCGACGAUCCCUAGCUGGUCUGAGAGGAUGACCAGCCACACUGGAACUGAGACACGGUCCAGACUCCUACGGGAGGCAGCAGUGGGGAAUAUUGCACAAUGGGCGCAAGCCUGAUGCAGCCAUGCCGCGUGUAUGAAGAAGGCCUUCGGGUUGUAAAGUACUUUCAGCGGGGAGGAAGGUGUUGAGGUUAAUAACCUCAGCAAUUGACGUUACCCGCAGAAGAAGCACCGGCUAACUCCGUGCCAGCAGCCGCGGUAAUACGGAGGGUGCAAGCGUUAAUCGGAAUUACUGGGCGUAAAGCGCACGCAGGCGGUCUGUCAAGUCGGAUGUGAAAUCCCCGGGCUCAACCUGGGAACUGCAUUCGAAACUGGCAGGCUAGAGUCUUGUAGAGGGGGGUAGAAUUCCAGGUGUAGCGGUGAAAUGCGUAGAGAUCUGGAGGAAUACCGGUGGCGAAGGCGGCCCCCUGGACAAAGACUGACGCUCAGGUGCGAAAGCGCGGGGAGCAAACAGGAUUAGAUACCCUGGUAGUCCACGCCGUAAACGAUGUCGACUUGGAGGUUGUGCCCUUGAGGCGUGGCUUCCGGAGCUAACGCGUUAAGUCGACCGCCUGGGGAGUACGGCCGCAAGGUUAAAACUCAAAUGAAUUGACGGGGGCCCGCACAAGCGGUGGAGCAUGUGGUUUAAUUCGAUGCAACGCGAAGAACCUUACCUACUCUUGACAUCCAGAGAACUUUCCAGAGAUGGAUUGGUGCCUUCGGGAACUCUGAGACAGGUGCUGCAUGGCUGUCGUCAGCUCGUGUUGUGAAAUGUUGGGUUAAGUCCCGCAACGAGCGCAACCCUUAUCCUUUGUUGCCAGCGGUUAGGCCGGGAACUCAAAGGAGACUGCCAGUGAUAAACUGGAGGAAGGUGGGGAUGACGUCAAGUCAUCAUGGCCCUUACGAGUAGGGCUACACACGUGCUACAAUGGCGCAUACAAAGAGAAGCGACCUCGCGAGAGCAAGCGGACCUCAUAAAGUGCGUCGUAGUCCGGAUUGGAGUCUGCAACUCGACUCCAUGAAGUCGGAAUCGCUAGUAAUCGUAGAUCAGAAUGCUACGGUGAAUACGUUCCCGGGCC
rnacentral:rRNA from 1 species